UACGUAGGUGGCGAGCGUUAUCCGGAUUUACUGGGUGUAAAGGGCGUGUAGGCGGGUUUGCAAGUCGGGUGUGAAAGAUCCAGGCUUAACUUGGAGAGGUCAUCCGAAACUGCAGAUCUUGAGUGCUGGAGAGGAUAGUGGAAUUCCUGGUGUAGCGGUAAAAUGCGUAGAUAUCAGGAGGAACACCAGUGGCGAAGGCGGCUAUCUGGACAGUAACUGACGCUGAGGCGCGAAAGCGUGGGGAGCAAACAGGAUUAGAUACCCGU
rnacentral:rRNA from 1 species